AGAGUUUGAUCCUGGCUCAGGACGAACGCUGGCGGCGUGCCUAAUACAUGCAAGUCGAGCGAAGAGAAAUAGAGCUUGCUCUAUGGAACUUAGCGGCGGACGGGUGAGUAACACGUGGGUAAUCUGCCUUUUAGACUGGAAUAACCUCGGGAAACCGGAGCUAAUACCAGAUAAGCUGCUACUACACAAGUAGAUAGUAGGGAAAGAUGGCGUAAGCUAUCACUAGAAGAUGAGCCCGCGUCGCAUUAGCUAGUUGGUAGGGUAAUGGCCUACCAAGGCUACGAUGCGUAGCCGACCUGAGAGGGUGAUCGGCCACACUGGGACUGAGACACGGCCCAGACUCCUACGGGAGGCAGCAGUAGGGAAUCUUCCGCAAUGGACGAAAGUCUGACGGAGCAACGCCGCGUGAGUGAUGAAGGUUUUCGGAUCGUAAAACUCUGUCAUUAGGGAAGAAUAGGUGUAGUUUAAAUAAGGCUAUG
rnacentral:rRNA from 1 species